AAAUUUAGGUUAACUAAUAAAACCAAGGGCCUUCAAAGCCCUAAACAGUCCCCUAAUUUCUG
rnacentral:tRNA from 1 species